CGAUAGGUACAGCAGCGUCGUCGGUGUUGCCGAAUGGAGCAAAAAGUUCAAACCUGUCGGUGCUGUGCCACACAAAUUACGGCUGGUGGGCUUCCUCUUCCACUUCACCACCUUUGUGAAGCGGUCCACGUCACAUUGAUUCGUCUGCCUCUGUGGUUUUACAACUUCGGAGACACGCACGCGGGAAUUACUUUUACUCUUAGCGAUUGCUGCUUCUCGAGUUUCGAAGUGGCGGCAAUCGGCUGUUUAUUUAUUACAUAAAAUCACACAGCAUUACAGCAAACACCACUAUGACAAAUACAUACAUAGACACAUGAUACAGACAUUAACUUAGAUGGAACAUAGUAAUAUAUUCUACUAAUCUCUCUCUUGGAAGCCAAGGCAAUGAACAGGCGCUGACUCAGCAUAAAUGACGCGGCUGCCCGCGACCCUGGUAUUCUGCCAGAACCCUAUAUAGGACAGGGACGCCACUCGCAAAAACCCAAAACAAAACCAUUUUAAUUCAAUUAAAAUUCUAACCAAUUCAAUUCAGUCCAAUUCAAUUUAAUUUAAUUCAAUCUAUUUAAUUUAAUCCAAUUUAUUUAUUUCUUCUUUCUUAAACACUUUAACCACUCAGAUUUCCACUUUCUGCAUAUGUAAAAGAUACUCUUGCAGCAUCUGCUUGAAAGUUCUUUUUGUGACGCUAUUAUGAAUAGGGGGAUUAAUAUUGUUCCAACAAUGAGUGACUAAGUACCGGAAACUCCCUCUAAUUGCAGUAUGCCGGGGGGUUACAAACAGAAACACCCUUGUCGACCUUGCUCCAAAGCAAGAGUUUACCGUCGAUGACCAAGUGACUGUCUCAUACAAAUAAUAAGGGAAUUCAGGUAGCAGAAAGAACGCUGCCAGGAGAAUUUCAG